GGUGUUCAUAGUAGGCAACAAUAACAGGACGUCCUUAAAGUUAGCCAUGAAAUACCACACGGUAAUCACAGGCUUUUGUUUGACAUUUAUGAUCACAAGACUUUCAGGUGCUUCACCCAGUGACGAAGUCCAUCAGACUCCAUCUGACUUGUACAAAAAACUGGAGCAAACAGCAGAAAUCGAUUGCUCGCACAAUAUCAACAACUACGAUCGGAUCCUGUGGUACAAACGGACGGCGGGCAGGCAGAUGGAGUUUCUAGGAUACAUGCUAGCAAACAUCGGCUAUCCGGAGGAGGGAGCGAAGGUAAAGAUCGACGGGAACGCCAACAAGGGCCAGACCUGCACGCUGACGAUGGACAGGCUCAACAUGAACAGCAGUGCAGUUUACUUCUGCGCUGCCAGUUACCACAGUGCUACAUGCAAAAAGUCCUCAGGGCAAAAACCUCGAGCUUUUGUUUCCCCAUCUCUCAGGUCCAUGCACCUGUCGUCUCUAACCUGUUUAUCAAGGUUUGGAUCUUUCUGUUGAGACACUGAUGUAAAUGAGGGAGGUGAAAACAUGCUGCGGUUUGAAUUUCUGGUAGAGGAGGAACCUCGUAGACACCACCCAUGUGUUGGUGUCUACAUGUGGGUGGUGAUUAAGGAAGAAAUAGCUCAAAAGGGAAGUUUGGGGACUCUUUUUCAGUCAUAUAGGAACAAAAUGAUCACGGUUCUCUUUUGUAUUACUUUGAGCGCAGCAGUGUCAGGUCUACUUCAUGAGAAAGUCCACCAGAAUCCGCCUGACAUUCACAGGCGUCCCGGAGAAUCAUCCAAAAUCCGCUGCUCGCACGCAAUCGACAACUAUGAUGAAAUUCUUUGGUACAA